GGAAACUUGGUGCAAUGGUAGCAUUCGUCGCUUAUGGUAAUGCGUUACAAUUAUUGGACUGUUGGAUAGGGCCGACGAGACCUGAGUUCGAUUCUCAGAGUUUCCA